rnacentral:sRNA from 1 species
GGUAAAGAGGAAGAGAUAUGUCGACUGUUGGCAGCGACGCAAUAUACUCUCAUGUUGUCGUUUCUUUUCGGACAACUCCAGGUGUGACAAUCAACAAUCACCGGUCUUGCGACCAACAUUCUUUAAUUUACUGUGGUUUGUUGAAAUGCAACUUGCGCAAGCAAUAUUGAGAAGGAUGCCAGACUCCGGAAGGACUGACUUUCAUAUGAUGAACCGCCGUGGACGAGGUUGGUUGUGGACAGAGUGAUCCAACAGACCAGAGAGGGGAUAAACUCCCAACAUAGCAGUAAUAUUCCAUAUUCCUCUUUGCAUGCGGACAGUUUGUCCUUCUUAUCAUUCUUGUCCAUCCA